CCUACGGGAGGCAGCAGUGAGGAAUAUUGGUCAAUGGGCGCGAGCCUGAACCAGCAAAGUCGCGUGAGGGAUGACGGUCCUAUGGAUUGUAAACCUCUUUUGUCGGGGAGCAAAAGACGCCGCGCGUGGCGUUCCAAGCGUACCCGAAGAACAUGCAUCGGCUAACUCCGUGCCAGCAGCCGCGGUAAUACGGAGGAUGCGAGCGUUAUCCGGAUGUAUUGGGUUAAUGGGGUGCGCAGGCGGAAGAUCCAGUGAGCGUUAAAAUUGAGGGGCUAAACCUCGUCGAGCCGUUGAAACUGGUGGUCUUGAGUGAGUGAGAAGUAAGCGGAAUGCGUGGUGUAGCGGUGAAAUGCAUAGAUAUCACGCAGAACUCCGAUUGCGAAGGCAGCAUACCGGAGCGUAACUGACGCUCAUGCACGAAAGUGUGGGUAUCGAACAGGAUUAGAUACCCCUGUAGUC
rnacentral:rRNA from 1 species